rnacentral:misc_RNA from 1 species
GCGCGCCGACGGCCGCCACGGAGCGCGCGCGGGUGUCCGGUGUCGUGUGAUGAGGCGCAGCUGACAUGGCGCACCAGUUCCGCAGGAGGGACCCCUACAAGCCCUUCGGCAGGCCCAGGAAGGGCUCAGCAGAAUCUAACUACUCACAGCCGUCUUCCGACUUGUCGCUGGACGAAGAGAAGGAAACGCUGAGGCGGGAGAAGGAGAGGCAGGCGCUGAGCCAGCUGGACAAGGCGCGGACGAAGCCAGUGGCGUUUGCCGUACGGACCAACGUAAGCUACGACGGCACUCUGGAUGACGACUCGCCCGUGCACGGCAGCGCCAUCUCCUUCGACGUCCGAGACUUCCUGCACAUCAAGGAGAAGUACGACAACAACUGGUGGAUCGGCCGCCUGGUGAAGGAGGGCAGCGACGUGGGCUUCAUCCCGUCUCCCGCCAAGCUCGAGAACCUGCGGCUGCAGCAGAGCCAGGCGCGCAACUCCAAGCUGUACGCUUCCAAGACGUCGUCGUCGAGUAACCUAGGUGCGCUAGUCAACGAUGUGCUCGCCUCCUCUAAGAGUGCCAACUCGCGCGGAUCCACCCCUCCCACCCCUGGCGAGGACUCCGACUCUGCGCGCCUGGCCAAGUCGACGCUCACGACGCCGCCGGCGAAGGAGAAGCGCAAGCCGUUUUUCCGCAAGCAGGAGACGAUGACGCCUUACGACGUGGUGCCCUCCAUGCGGCCGGUCGUCCUCGUCGGGCCGUCGCUCAAGGGCUACGAGGUGACGGACAUGAUGCAGAAGGCGCUCUUCGACUUCCUCAAGCACCGCUUCGAAGGACGCAUCAUCAUAACGCGCGUCAUGGCCGACAUCUCGCUGGCGAAGCGCUCGCUGCUGAACAACCCGUCCAAGCGCGCCAUCAUGGAGCGGACCAACUCGCGGUCCACGUGCCUGGCCGAGGUGCAGGCCGAGAUCGAGCGCAUCUUCGAGCUGGCCCGCACCUUGCAGCUGGUCGUGCUCGACUGCGACACCAUCAACCACCCGUCGCAGCUCGCCAAGACCUCUCUCGCCCCCACCAUCGUCUACCUCAAGAUCUCCUCGCCCAAGGUGCUUCAGCGGUUGAUAAAGUCUAGAGGAAAAUCGCAAGCUCGACAUCUCAAUGUGCAAAUGGUUGCUGCAGAGAAACUAGCACAGUGUCCACAGGAGAUGUUUGAUGUCAUUUUAGAUGAAAAUCAACUAGAUGAUGCAUGUGAACACAUCGCCGAAUAUCUCGAGGCUUACUGGCGAGCAACACACCCGCCAGCAAUUCCACCACCAUCACAGCAGCCACCAGUAGUGCCUGUCGGCUUACCCAGGCAGAGCCAGAAUCAGGUUCCUGGUCAACAGAAUCCCCAGCAGGCGCAAGCGCAGCAGUUGUCUCCUGGGGCAGUGCCUUCCACUUCUGACCACAACGUAACCACACCUCCUGAUACCAGAAGAAGUGUGUACUGAUGAGAGCAGUGGCAUCUGUUGGUCACCGCUCACUUUAUCAUGUCUCACAUUUACCAAAAGGAGCAGUAGUGUACCACCAGCACCAACACGGCCGAUCGAGGUUGGAGCGCGACCGUUCCGAGUACGACGAGUACGAUGAGUACGAUGAUGGAAUAGCACCACUUCCAUUGGCAGCAGCAUAC